GAUCAGGAGGGCGAGUCGAGCCAUGGUUAAACGGCGCCGUCUCGUGCUGGAUUCUGAUCCAUGGCUUGGUAGUUUCGUGCUCUAUCUGAUCCGUGGCUCAGUUUGGUAGCCCUCCCGCUCUACGCGUUGCCCGCCGCGUGAGGCCAAUGAGCAGCGCCCCGCCCCGCCGCGUGCCCAGGCCGACGAGCAGUACAGGAUCGGCCGCUGACAGCGGUGAGUGCAGGCGCGGCAGCCGGGGAAGCUGUGGCGGCGGCGGAUCUGGCGACCGCCGGGUCGGCUUGUCGUUCGUGACCGGCUGGAGUCGCGGCGAGGCGCUGUAGUCCAUGGAGUCUGGUGGCUAGCUGACGAACACUUGCUCUUGGACGCCGCUGCGGCUACUAACGUUUUCUUCUGAAUUUGGCAUGCAACACUACUUUACCUCAAUCAGUUCAGCGGCUAGUGGUGCCAAGUGCUGGAUGUUAGAUGCUCGUUUUCUGAAUUUGCGAUUGCUCUUGGCCUUGUCAAGUGCGUUUUCUGAAUGUUCAGAUCUGCCGCUAGCUAUGCAAGUGCGUUUUCUGAAUUUCCGCAAGUGCAACGGCCAGGUUCAGUUUUAGUUGAGUGUAGCACUAGUGCAGGCUCUGGAAGAUCAGUUAUAAUUCAUUGUAGUACUAGUGUAUGUCUAACAAAUUAAAUGUUACGUAGUAGAUAGAUGCACAGUUAGUUCAGCAAUGUCAAGUUCGGUUUUCGUUCAGUGUAGUACUGCUCAAGUUGAGUUUAGUUCAGGUAUAAAAUUAUAUGUUGCAGCAAUCCGAGCGAUUGUGAUUCUCGUGUUGCCUGUAGGUUUUCCGUUAGGGAGGAGUUCGGUGAUAGCUUGGAGCAGCCGGUUCCGACCCGUCUACCGCUCGUGAUAGGGAAGGAAAGUCUGUGGCCUUUGCCACGCGAGUCCAAUGUGGCGUCCGCCUACGCCGAAGUUGUUGGAGACUGUGGACUCCCUUUGAGCAGGGCGAGAGCUGAGCGGAGGAAGAAAGCAUCGCCGAGGGAGUCCGUUGUAUAGACAAGCAACGUGAAUCCUGAAGCCCCGGGAUGGACCAAGAGGUAAUAUCUUCAGGAGGGUUAAUUCUGACUUCCUUGAACCUUAAUACUGAUAUUUCUGAUAGAGCAUAGUAGGUUCAUGUAGAUCUGCGUUCUUACCAGAUUGCCCAACACAUGGGGUCUUGAAGAAAUCAAUUGAUGUAAUUCGUGUGUUUCUUUUGACAUUUGUUAUGGUUUGCCUAGUAAAGGAGUUAGCCAAGUUUGGUAGAAAAGUUGGGUUUGUCAGGUCGAACCAUUUGCAGCUUAGUAUAGCUGCUUGAGUUCAAUUGCCUAGCCUCGGUGGCGUGGAAAAAUCAAUUGAUGGCACGGGCGUUGAGCCGCCGGACUCGAACGCUGGGUCCGGGUGCGGGAAACAUGUUGGCGGUGCUAGCCAGGGGCGGCAAGAGGGUAACGGGCGACGUCAAGGUCCGCACAGUCGACCAAUAGAGUGAAUCCAGAGGAUCCAGGUUGGACAAAAAGGAUGAGCUUUGCAAGCCAGAUAACGAAGUGGAUAGGGAUUACAUCGAGAUGAUGAACUCUACACUAAUGGGUUACAGAAUUGACUGGUUGAAGAAGUUCAUCCUCCCCAGUGUUGUUCAUGGACUCCUGGUCGUUGUACAUUCUAGACAUCGAGAACAAGGAAGUUAUGGUGCUUGAUCCAACUGAGACAGAUCCAGCGAAUGAGAUGAUAAAGCAUGAGGCUUUGGCAAAGAGCUUCCUGUACAGAUUUUGCAACCGCUUCAACGACAUGUUUGGUGGUGGAUUGGUCGAGACUACUGGGUGGACCUUUAUUUACCCAUUAGUUGCGCAACACGAACCGUGUAUGAGGUGAGUUUGUCCAGAAAUAAUUUAUAAAUAAAAUUAUUUUAUGUGCCUUUCAUAUGGCGAGACAACGAAUGGGAAUACCGUUGCCACCAAGGAGGAGAGUGGGGUGUACAUCGUCCACUACAUAACGGAGCUCACAGGGCUUUAGCAUCGUUCAUUGCUAAGCCCAUAAAAAGAAAAUUUUGUUUCGAGUGAUGAACUGAAAGAACACCGAAAAGCAGCAAUGUUGUCUGUACACUAAGUCGUGCUUCUUGAUGUUUUUUUUGUUUGACACGGGAGAAGCUAGAUCACCUUCGGUAGAAUAUUGCAUACGAUGUUGUGACCAUGAUGGGAAACAAGGGUGAUCUCCCGGUUUUCCAUUGCGAGGAGAUAAUUGACUAAUGGGGAAUGAAUCGUGGUUCAGAUUACUUGCAGGCUGGUAACAUCUUUUGUCCGUGCGCGUGGUAUGUCCAUUUAAGUGCACCCAUUAGUGUUGGGGGGCUUUUGGAGAAACCAAAAUCCGAAGUAGUGUGUGAUGGAAACCUAUGGACCUUAUUUGAAUUUGUACUUAAAGACCUGAGUAGAGUCAGGAGACCUACAUGUGUGCAGUGUUGUGAAUUGCCGAAGCAUAGGCUUGCUUCAUGUAUCAGAACCCAUGGGAAGUAGUUGAAAAU